rnacentral:misc_RNA from 1 species
GUCAAAGACCAAACAAAAAAAAAAUAAUUACUUGAGCCGGGAGGUAGUCAACCGAUUACAAGGAUUAUUGGCUGGAGGGUUAUUCGCUGACUGAACUGAUAGGAUUAGAUUAGAAGGCGUAGGCCUAUAAGGACAGAAAGGGAAUGCGCAGACAAUCAGCACUUUAUUCGGGUGACGAGGACACUACCUCAACGAAGACAUCUGGGUCGG